AGCAGACAGCAACUGAUGAGCAUAUAUUAGCCUCUGCUAGAAGAUGGGCAGCCCAGCAGGACCGUGAUCAUCCCCAGAUCCAUCAGAGCACAGCAGGUCAGGACACCUGCUGGGAGAACAGAGUCCAUUAACCUGAAGAUGGGUGACUGGUUUGUUCUCAGCUGUCCAGCUACUGGAUGAGAAGAAAGGCCAGUAAAAGAAAACAACUGCAGACGAGAAUAAAAAGAAAUAAAGGAGGAGAAGGGAAGAGCGGCAGAUAAAAGGAGGGAAAAAUGAGAGGAAAAUGAAGACAAAGAAUGGAAGAGGAAGAAAGGAAGGAGGUAGUGAAGAGAAUAAAGGAGAGGUGAAGCAAGAAGACAAAAGAAGAAAAAUAAAAGGAAGAGAAAAAAUGGAAAAGACAAAAGAAAGUAAACAGAAGAAAGAAAAAUAAAAGAAAGAAUGAGAGAAGGAAGUAAAAAAUGUUGUGAGUACAGUAAGCAUGGCAAAAGAGAAGCAGGGCUUUUUGGAUGCAAAUAUGAAAAUAUCGAGGGAUUCAACACAAACAUCUCAUUACCCCAAAUUAAGUCAAUACAACUAUAAUAGAAGAAAGAUCAGAGAGAAUGGAAUUGUAGUUGCAAUAAUGCUGGAGCCACACAGAAAAAGGCUUUGAACAGGGGUACACAAAACCAGAAAAAAUAAAGAAGGAAAAAAAACCUCUCCCACACAUUAUUUGUUGUUUCUACUUCUGUUGGCUUCUUUCCUCGGGGGAAAAUAGAAAUACAAUACCAGACAUUUUAUAUACAUGUAUAUAUGUGUAGAGAGGAGAGUCUUCUAGCAAAUCUCUUUAAAAACAAAGGGUGCGGGGUAAGUGCGACCAAGGAGC
ensembl:lncRNA